rnacentral:rRNA from 1 species
CCUACGGGAGGCAGCAGUGAGGAAUAUUGCCCAAUGGACGAAAGUCUGAGGCAGCAACGCCGCGUGCGCGAUGAAGGCCUUCGGGUUGUAAAGCGCUUUUCUGGAGGAAGAGGAAGGACGGUACUCCAGGAAUAAGUCUCGGCUAACUACGUGCCAGCAGCCGCGGUAAUAAUCACU